rnacentral:tRNA from 1 species
GGUGGCUCAGUGGUAGAGUGCUUGCCUUGCAUGCAUGAGGCCCUGGGUUCAAUAACUCAGUACCA